UCGGGGAAGAAAAUGACUGUACCCGAAUAAGAAGGUCCGGCUAACUUCGUGCCAGCAGCCGCGGUAAUACGAAGGGACCUAGCGUAGUUCGGAAUUACUGGGCUUAAAGAGUUCGUAGGUGGUUAAAAAAGUUGGUGGUGAAAUCCCAGAGCUUAACUCUGGAACUGCCAUCAAAACUUUUUAGCUAGAGUAUGAUAGAGGAAAGCAGAAUUUCUAGUGUAGAGGUGAAAUUCGUAGAUAUUAGAAAGAAUACCAAUUGCGAAGGCAGCUUUCUGGAUCAUUACUGACACUGAGGAACGAAAGCAUGGGUAGCGAAGAGGAUUAGAUACCCUCGUAGUCCAUGCCGUAAACGAUGUGUGUUAGAUGUUGGAAAUUUAUUUUCAGUAUCGCAGCGAAAGCAAUAAACACACCGCCUGGGGAGUACGACCGCAAGGUUA
rnacentral:rRNA from 1 species